GCGGGCCUUGGUCUGGUGGUUCAGCGCAUGGCCCUUGGCAUGGGUCCGGGACAGUCCGGGUCUGGCGUCGUUCAAUUCGUCAACCCCGCC
rnacentral:tRNA from 2 species